rnacentral:snoRNA from 15 species
ACUGAGGAAUGAUGACAAUAAAAGGCCGAAUUGCAGUGCCUCCAAAUUGCAGUUUGCUCUCUAUAUGGAUGCACGAUGACAAAAUCUCCUGAAGCGAACCACUGGUCUGACCUCAGU